rnacentral:rRNA from 1 species
GACGAACCGUGCGAACGUUAUUCGGAAUCACUGGGCUUAAAGGGCGCGUAGGCGGGCAACCAAGUCCGGGGUGAAAUCCUCCAGCUCAACUGGAGAAGUGCCUCGGAUACUGGCUGCCUCGAGGAGGGUAGGGGCAUCUGGAACUAGCGGUGGAGCGGUGAAAUGCGUUGAUAUCGCUAGGAACUCCGGUGGCGAAGGCGAGGUGCUGGACCCUUUCUGACGCUGAGGUGCGAAAGCGUGGGGAGCAAACAGG